rnacentral:rRNA from 1 species
GAUGAACGCUGGCGGCGUGCCUAAUACAUGCAAGUCGAGCGAACAGACGAGGAGCUUGCUCCUCUGAUGUUAGCGGCGGACGGGUGAGUAACACGUGGAUAACCUACCUAUAAGACUGGGAUAACUUCGGGAAACCGGAGCUAAUACCGGAUAACAUGUUGAACCGCAUGGUUCAACAGUGAAAGACGGUCUUGCUGUCACUUAUAGCUGGAUCCGCGCCGCAUUAGCUAGUUGGUAAGGUAACGGCUUACCAAGGCAACGAUGCGUAGCCGACCUGAGAGGAUGAUCGGCCACACUGGAACUGAGACACGGUCCAGACUCCUACGGGAGGCAGCAGUAGGGAAUCUUCCGCAAUGGGCGAAAGCCUGACGGAGCAACGCCGCGUGAGUGAAGAAGGUCUUCGGAUCGUAAAACUCUGUUAUUAGGGAAGAACAAAUGUGUAAGUAACUAUGCACGUCUUGACGGUACCUAAUCAGAAAGCCACGGCUAACUACGUG